UUAGGAAUAGGAAUGGUCACCCCCUUUAUGCUUGCAUACUAAUUAUAGUCGAACUUACCUUUCAUAGUCUCCCAAAAAGCAAACCCCCUAAAAUUCCCAAAUCCAUUUUCCAAAGCUUCAAUUUCAUUAUUCAACACAGCAAUGCGUUUCUUUUUUAAGCAAUUCAUUCCCCUUUUUCCCAUUUCAAAUUCUCCUUUAACUCUCUAUUUUGUUUGAUAUUUCAUUCAUGUUUCUCCCCCAACAAAACCCUCUUCUUCCUCCAACUCCCAAAUCCACCAUGGGAAGAGGCAGAGUCGAGAUCAAGAAGAUUGAGAAUAUCAACAGCAGACAAGUUACUUUCUCCAAACGCCGUAAUGGGUUGAUGAAAAAGGCCAAAGAAUUGUCUGUUCUUUGUGAUGCUGAGGUCGCCAUUGUUGUCUUCUCCAGCACUGGAAGGCUUUAUGAAUUCUCCAGUACCAGCAUGGAACAUACACUUUCAAGAUACAGAGGACAGGGCAUGGAGUUGGAUUUUCCAAAAGAGACUUUGGACCACCCAACACAACUGCCACCAUCUGAUUCUGAUGCAAAGUCAUCUCAAGAGGAGAUCGUAAAGCUAAAGCUAGCAUAUAUGCAGAUGAGAGGCCAGGAACUGGAUAGUUUGAGCUUUACAGACCUACAAAACUUAGAAAAUCAGUUGCGGGAAGGGAUCGUAUCUAUCAAAGACAAGAAGGAGACAUUACUUUUGGAGCAGCUCCAAAGGUAUAGAUCACAGGGGGAGGUAGUCAUUUCAGAAAAUGAGAUGCUGCGAAAACAGCUAGAGGAGUUUCAGCAGAGAAAUAAUGCACCACUUCAGGAGUCCAGCCCCCUUCAGAGAUCCUGCUUCUCGGAUUCGAAAACCGCUUCUACCAACGAGACCGAGGCAGAGACCGAGGCAGAGGAAAAUGACUGCUCAGAAAUUUCCUUGCAUCUGGGGCUAUGAGCAAGCAAGAGCAAUAAAGCAGAGCUUCUUUUUAUGAUGGGUUUACUGUUUGUAAUUGAUUAAUGAUUCCAUAUAAUGCUCCUGAGAGUAUCCUUCACAUAGAGAAAACAAGGUUGUCGUUGGAUGGUCAACGAAAAAGGAAACGAUCGAUUGAAGGUGCGAGCAAUGAUACAACAUGCAGUCAAUUAGAUCUGGAAAGGGGAUGCAAUUUUAGCAAACGAUGAACUCUCUCGUUGUUUUGGUCUGUAACAGACUCGGGUUUGGGUUCGGGUUUUGUUUUCGAUAUUCUAAUUCAACUGGGAUCAGAGAAUCAUAGAGGUAGAGCCAUACUACAAUGAAUUGUCCAGUCACCACAGUUUAUAUUGAUAUAAUAGACUUGUUAUUUUUAAUGAAAUUUGAUACAACUAUUGUAGUCAAUUUGAGCACUGAUUUUCUUCCUUCUUUUUAAUUCUUUUGGAUUGUAAAUGAACAAGUUUUGGUAUAUGAAGAUGAGCAAUGAAGGCUACAUCAAAGACAUAAUAAAGGGAAGUUUCAUUUUUGGUU